rnacentral:rRNA from 1 species
AGAGUUUGAUCCUGGCUCAGGAUGAACGCUGGCGGCGUGCCUAACACAUGCAAGUCGAACGGAGUUUAUAUUAUGAAGUCUUCGGAUGAAUUGAUAUAAACUUAGUGGCGGACGGGUGAGUAACGCGUGGGUAACCUGCCUCAUACAGGGGGAUAACAGCCGGAAACGGUUGCUAAAACCGCAUAAGCGCACAGCAGCGCAUGCUGCAGUGUGAAAAUAUUUUAUAGGUAUGAGAUGGGCCCGCGUCUGAUUAGCUAGUUGGUGAGGUAACUGCUCACCAAGGCGACGAUCAGUAGCCGGCUUGAGAGAGUGACCGGCCACAUUGGGACUGAGACACGGCCCAAACUCCUACGGGAGGCAGCAGUGGGGAAUAUUGCACAAUGGGGGAAACCCUGAUGCAGCGACGCCGCGUGAGUGAAGAAGUAUUUCGGUACGUAAAGCUCUAUCAGCGGGGAAGAAAAUGACGGUACCUGACUAAGAAGCCCCGGCUAACUACGUGCCAGCAGCCGCGGUAAUACGUAGGGGGCAAGCGUUAUCCGGAUUUACUGGGUGUAAAGGGAGCGUAGGUG